rnacentral:rRNA from 1 species
AGGAAUAUUGGUCAAUGGGCGAGAGCCUGAACCAGCCAAGUAGCGUGAAGGAUGACUGCCCUAUGGGUUGUAAACUUCUUUUAUAAAGGAAUAAAGUCGGGUAUGUAUACCCGUUUGCAUGUACUUUAUGAAUAAGGAUCGGCUAACUCCGUGCCAGCAGCCGCGGUAAUACGGAGGAUCCGAGCGUUAUCCGGAUUUAUUGGGUUUAAAGGGAGCGUAGAUGGAUGUUUAAGUCAGUUGUGAAAGUUUGCGGCUCAACCGUAAAAUUGCAGUUGAUACUGGAUAUCUUGAGUGCAGUUGAGGCAGGCGGAAUUCGUGGUGUAGCGGUGAAAUGCUUAGAUAUCACGAAGAACUCCGAUUGCGAAGGCAGCCUGCUAAGCUGCAACUGACAUUGAGGCUCGAAAGUGUGGGUAUCAAACAGGAUUAGAUACCCUGGUAGUCCACACGGUAAACGAUGAAUACUCGCUGUUUGCGAUAUACGGCAAGCGGCCAAGCGAAAGCGUUAAGUAUUCCACCUGGGGAGUACGCCGGCAACGGUGAAACUCAAAGGAAUUGACGGGGGCCCGCACAAGCGGAGGAACAUGUGGUUUAAUUCGAUGAUACGCGAGGAACCUUACCCGGGCUUAAAUUGCAGAUGAAUUACGGUGAAAGCCGUAAGCCGCAAGGCAUCUGUGAAGGUGCUGCAUGGUUGUCGUCAGCUCGUGCCGUGAGGUGUCGGCUUAAGUGCCAUAACGAGCGCAACCCUUGUUGUCAGUUACUAACAGGUUUUGCUGAGGACUCUGACAAGACUGCCAUCGUAAGAUGUGAGGAAGGUGGGGAUGACGUCAAAUCAGCACGGCCCUUACGUCCGGGGCUACACACGUGUUACAAUGGGGGGUACAGAGGGCCGCUACCACGCGAGUGGAUGCCAAUCCCCAAAACCUCUCUCAGUUCGGACUGGAGUCUGCAACCCGACUCCACGAAGCUGGAUUCGCUAGUAAUCGCGCAUCAGCCACGGCGCGGUGAAUACGUUCCCG